CAGCCGCCACGGGAAUACGGAGGGGGCUAGCGUUGUUCGGAAUUACUGGGCGUAAAGCGCACGUAGGCGGCUUUGUAAGUCAGAGGUGAAAGCCCGGGGCUCAACCCCGGAAUUGCCUUUGAGACUGCAUCGCUUGAAUCCAGGAGAGGUGAGUGGAAUUCCGAGUGUAGAGGUGAAAUUCGUAGAUAUUCGGAAGAACACCAGUGGCGAAGGCGGCUCACUGGACUGGUAUUGACGCUGAGGCGCGAAAGCGUGGGGAGCAAACAGGAUUAGAUACCCGGGUAGUCCCUGUCUCUUAUAA
rnacentral:rRNA from 1 species